ensembl:snoRNA Gm24066 small nucleolar RNA SNORA17
CCUGCCCCUAGAUGCAUUGCAGGUGGGGCUGCUAUGUCACAUGUGCAUCAGUAGGUGGUAGAGAGGAGAAAGGCUAGGACUAUACUCAGUACUCUGACCUAUGAACAUCUGAAAAUUAGUGGCCUAACAUU